rnacentral:rRNA from 1 species
AAAGGAACUAACAAGGAUUCCCCUAGUAACUGCGAGUGAAGCGGGAAAAGCUCAAAUUUGAAAUCUGGCAGUCUAUUUUUUCUUCUUUGGCUGUCCGAGUUGUAAUCUAGAGAAGUGCUUACCUGCACUGGACCAUGUAUAAGUCUCCUGGAAUGGAGCGUCGCAGAGGGUGAGAAUCCCGUCUUUGACAUGGACCGCCAGUGUGUUGUGGUGUGCUCUCAAAGAGUCGAGUUGUUUGGGAAUGCAGCUCUAAAUGGGUGGUAAACUCCAUCUAAAGCUAAAUAUUGGCGAGAGACCGAUAGCGAACAAGUACCGUGAGGGAAAGAUGAAAAGGACUUUGGAAAGAGAGUUAAACAGUAUGUGAAAUUGUUGAAAGGGAAACGCUUGAAGUCAGUUGUGUCGGCUGGGGAUCAACCUAGCUCUUUUGCUGGGUGAAUUUCCUAUUCUGACAGGCCAACAUCAGUUUCGACCGCUGGAAAAGAGCGGAGGGAAUGUGGCACCUUCGGGUGUGUUAUAGCCCUUUGUCAUAUGUGGCGGUCGGGACUGAGGGAUGCAGCGUGCCGCGAGGCUGGGUUUCGACCACGUUCACGCUUAGGAUGUUGGCUUUUAAUGGCUUCAAUCGACCCGUCUUGAAACACGGACCAAGGAGUCUAACAUGCCUGCGAGUGUUUGGGUGGAAAACCCUUGCGCGCAAUGAAAGUGAAAGUUGAGAUCCCUGUCGUGGGGAGCAUCGACGCCCGGACUUGAGCUUUCAGCGACGGAUCCGCGGUAGAGCAUGCAUGUUGGGACCCGAAAGAUGGUGAACUAUGCCUGAAUAGGGCAAAGCCAGAGGAAACUCUGGUGGAGGCUCGUAGCGAUUCUGACGUGCAAAUCGAUCGUCAAAUUUGGGUAUAGGGGCGAAAGACUAAUCGAACCAUU